GAGGGUAUAGCUCAAGUGGUAGAGCACAUGCUUAGCAUGCACAAGGUUCUGGGUUCUAAUCCCCAGUCCCUCCU
rnacentral:tRNA from 1 species